rnacentral:lncRNA from 1 species
UGGAUUUCCCCUUAAGAUUGAUCCAGGUGAAUAUAAGCAAGAUAUGAUUCAUAGCAAAUGUGACGAUUUUUAAAAGUACACUGAAUGAUAUUUUUAAUUAUUUUUGUUGAAAGAAUAUAUGACAGUGUAUUUUUUUUCAGGUUCCAGGUCUAUGAACCCUUUACAGGUAGUUAAACAGGCGAUCAGUUUUCCAAUCCUACAACAGCACAUACCUCUUUAAAUUUUCAACUCUCAGCAAGUGAACUUCCAGAAAAGGAACCAACCACUUAAUAAAAUUAACGGUACCAAUUUUCUUGCACCAGAUGCGCAUUUCGACAAUACAUAUCUCUUCAGUGAUGCUCGUGGCCAAAAUAUUUCAAAUCCAAAGCUUAUAUAAAAGAUGAAGAGCUAUAAUAGAAUAGAAUAGAAUAGAAUAGAAUAUUUUUAAUUCCCAAAUACAGGCCCAUAAAGGGCAUAAAAUCAGAUACAAUUGAUUUACAUAAUUAACAACAACAAUAGAGGCAUAUACAUAUAUUUGGAAUAUAAGCAUUGUCAGAAUCAGCUAAAAACAAUAUAUAUUGUGAUAAAAGAAUAAUAAAUACAUAACAUGUUAAUGUAUUUCUUCUCAAAUUAUUACUGACUUAGGUCAGGUUCUACUAUUCCUUAAUCAAACAGUCACAAUAUAACAGCCAUUUCCAUAAGAGUACAUUUCUUGGGUCAGAGCCAUAAAAAUUUAGAAGAUUUAUUAAUUUAUAAAUAUAACAAUUUAGAAAUGCUUAAAAAAUCACCCUUGAAUAUCAUAAAAGGCAUUCAAUAAAAAAUGAAGCUCACUUCAACCUUACCAAGUGAGCAAUUAGAACAAAACGUCAUAUCUCAUAUGCUUUUUGAAACUGUCUGUCUCAAUUUUUAAAAGUAGCACUUAUUCUUAUACAAAUUACUGUCUUUUUUUGAGUCCGCAAUCUAAAUAUUUUUCUUUUUUUAAACCAAAGGUCCAAAAAUAUGCCAAAUCCGUAAGAAUCAGAGCUUUGCAUGAGGGAAUUCAUUCUUAAUAUAUAAAUUUCUAUCAUUUUGUAACAGCAAAUUUUAAUAACACAAAAAAUCCGUAUUUUCAUGCCAGUACCGAAGUACUGGCUAUUAUCAUUUUGUAACAGCAAAGUUUAAUAACACAAAAAAUCCGUAUUUUCAUGCCAGUACCGAAGUACUUAAGUUAUGUUAUAGUCAAUUAAGAAAGCAAGAAAACUACUCGCCUACCUGUGACACUUGGGCACAACAUAAGAAAUAUAAAAAAAACUCGUUAAACGUUAUCUCAAGAGAAUCAAAAUCGUCGCUUAGGAAGAAGUAGUAUGUUUUGUGAGUGGUCAAAUAUUGAAACAGCAUAUAAGACACAACUUUAAACACGUUUAAGAACAGAUUAGAGUUUUUCAGAAAAAUUCUACAGUGAAACAAAAAAUUUCCAAACUUAAUCUCUUUAUCUAUGGAAAAGUUAAGUAAAAGUUUAAAAUAAUAUAUGUUAAUUGACUAAUUAUAUAAAGAUUGCGUUCAUUGGAAUCUAAAACGUCUCCACAGCAAGGGCAGAGUAAAUGGCGUGGAAAGUAUACUCAACAAAAAAGAAAAGACAAAAGAAAAGGCAUCGCUCCAAAACGGAAAAUUAAUAACUGUUUACAAAAAAAUUGCUUCUUUUGUAGAAAAUAUUUGUAUACACUGAGUUCACAGUUUGAAACAGAAACAUCCACAUCCAGAAAAGGACAAUUAUUGCUGUUAACACUAGACUUAUUCCUGUGAAUAUUUAAAGUGAAAAUAUCAUCAAGGUAAACGAAGUACAGAAAUGUAGUCAAGGAGAAAGUUUAUACCGUCAACCGUUUCCUCGAAGUUCCAGACAGAAUAUUUAGCAAGUUUUCCUUUUUAAUUACAGCAGACGGAUGUAUAUGAGUUGCAGCACAUACAUCUGUUAUCAGAUUUGUAUGAGAGUUGUAUCAAAUUCCAUUAUAUUGACAACCUUGCGUGAAUAAAACAAACGGACUUAAUAAGUAAAAAUGUCAAAAUAGGGGUAGAGCAGUCAAUACGUUGUCACAAUCUUAAUUACAACAAAAACAAACAAAUAUUUAACAAAGAAGCACUAAAUAGUUAUCAAAGGUACCAAGCCUAUAAUGUAAUACACCAGACGCGCGUUUCGUCUACAUAAGACUCAUCAGUGACGCUCAGAUCCAAAUGGUUAUAAUGCCAAACAAGUACGAGGUUGAAGAGCAUUGAGGACCCA